CCCGCCCCGCCCCACCGUCCCGUGAGAGAAACGCGGCCGGGGAGAGCUGAGGGGCGGGGUUUGCUGACAGGAUUACGGCACCCUCCCUAGCAUCCUGUUGACAGUUGAGGCUAAGGCACGUUUUCCUGGGUUCUAAGAGCAGUCUUUUGAGGCGAGGCCAUCACACUCGAGCGGGUCUGGGAAGCGAGAAGCCGACUCACGGAACGACAACAGGGCUGAAGCAGACGCUGUGGGGAACCGACCCCGACCGCCUCGCGUCAGUAACAGCAGACGCCGAAAAUUCAGGCACACGCUCUAAAUUGAAAGCAUCCCCUCCGCCCUCCGAGGAUAAUUGUUCACAAAGCGGAAGCACUGAGAACCGACACCACAACGGGGUUUUGCAGAAGCCGCAGCAGCAGCUGCACGGUUGGAAAUGCUCUGACGUUGGCAUU
rnacentral:lncRNA from 1 species